AUGGAGCACGCGCAUGACGAGCUCAGCCUCGAGCUCACCCUGGCCGCCUCGGUCGUGGCGCCGGCGCCCGGCUUCUUCCUAUGUGUGUACUGCCACCGCAAGUUCCGCACCUCGCAGGCUCUCGGCGGCCACCAAAACGCGCACAAGGAAGAGCGAGCCGACAAGCUCCGCCGGAAGACUGCCGCCGCCACGGCGCACGCUUGGAAACCGGAGAGGACUGCCGCCGCUGUUUGGGUGUCCGAGGAGCCAAUAGAAGCAGGUGGCAUGGCACACAAGCGGAGCUGGACUUGUCCCUCCGGCUAUAAUUGGUCGUUCAGUCCAUGA
rnacentral:rRNA from 1 species